CAAGCGAGUUUUUUCCCCCGAAAGUAGUUUACCAGUGGCCUAACGCUAAAGUGAGUGAUUAAUAAUAGGAUGAAUGUCCCACUCUGCCUUAUUUAUAGGAGGGAGAUAACCCGAGAAUUAUGGAUACAAAUGACCUCUUUCACCUAUCCUGAGGGCUACUCUUUCUUCCACCCCCUCUCCCUGUAAAGCGUGUAUUUCCACCUUUUUUUUUUUUUUUUUUUGUCUUUUUCCUUUUUUUUAUCGGUACCGGAGAUCAAACUGACGAAUGCCUGCUUGCAAGGCAGGCGCUUAUGCCGCUGAGCUAAAUCCCCAGCCCCUACUUCCACCUUUGAUAAAUGUACAACUUUGCUGCCUUUUUUGUGCGUCUUACCCAGUUCUUUCUGGGAAACACCAACAAGAGACCUGGAAAGAAAUACCGCGGGACGCACUAUCCGGUGCCGGCAACUGAACCCAGGACCUUUGCACUGAACUACAUUUCUACUCUAAAUGUUUUUAAUUUUUAGUGUAUCUUCAUUUAUUUUUGAGAUAGGGUGUCUGUGUAGCUCAGGCUGGCCUUGAACUCUCUAUGUAGCCCAAGUUGGCCUCGAAUUUGUGGUGAGCCUCCUGUCUCAGCCUCUGGACUGCUGGGAACAGGCAUGUGUCAACACACCCUGCUUGGAGAUCCUGAUAGUGUCAAUUUUUUAGACCUUCAAAGUUAAGUGCAAGAACUUGCACUUUUAAAAUUAUUUUUAUAAAAAGAAUAAUAAAGGUAUUAGCUCUUUUCCUUUAUACAUUAGCUCAUUUAUUCAUCCA